rnacentral:rRNA from 1 species
GACGAACGCUGGCGGCGUGCCUAAUACAUGCAAGUAGAACGCUGAAGAGAGGAGCUUGCUCUUCUUGGAUGAGUUGCGAACGGGUGAGUAACGCGUAGGUAACCUGCCUUGUAGCGGGGGAUAACUAUUGGAAACGAUAGCUAAUACCGCAUAACAAUGUAUGACACAUGUCAUUUAUUUGAAAGGGGCAAUUGCUCCACUACAAGAUGGACCUGCGUUGUAUUAGCUAGUAGGUGAGGUAAUGGCUCACCUAGGCGACGAUACAUAGCCGACCUGAGAGGGUGAUCGGCCACACUGGGACUGGGACACGGCCCAGAAUCCUACGGGAGGCAGCAGUAGGGAAUCUUCGGCAAUGGGGGCAACCCUGACCGAGCAACGCCGCGUGAGUGAAGAAGGUUUUCGGAUCGUAAAGCUCUGUUGUAAGUCAAGAACGGGUGUGAGAGUGGAAAGUUCACACUGUGACGGUAGCUUACCAGAAAGGGACGGCUAACUACGUG